rnacentral:rRNA from 1 species
GGGGGAUAACCAUUGGAAACGAUGGCUAAUACCGCAUAAUGCCUACGGGCCAAAGAGGGGGAUCUUCGGACCUCUCGCGUCNAGAUAUGCCUAGGUGGGAUUAGCUAGUUGGUGAGGUAAUGGCUCACCAAGGCGACGAUCCCUAGCUGGUCUGAGAGGAUGAUCAGCCACACUGGAACUGAGACACGGUCCAGACUCCUACGGGAGGCAGCAGUGGGGAAUAUUGCACAAUGGGCGAAAGCCUGAUGCAGCCAUGCCGCGUGUAUGAAGAAGGCCUUCGGGUUGUAAAGUACUUUCANUUGUGAGGAAGGGUGUGUAGUUAAUAGCUGCGCAUCUUGACGUUAGCAACAGAANAAGCNCCGGCUAACUCCGUGCCAGCAGCCGCGGUAAUACGGAGGGUGCGAGCGUUAAUCGGAAUUACUGGGCGUANAGCGCAUGC